UGGAUAUGUAUGCGACAUUUCUUCGAUAAGUCUGUUUAAUUUCUAACUGUUUACUUAAUCUGUCCUGAUCUUGUCUUGUGUAAGUAACUCAGUAUUCAAUUAUGUAGACUAACCAGAUUCAGUAGAUCUGACUGACUAAUAAAUUCUGGAGAUCUAAGCCAAUUACAUCAUCAAAGACAGAUUACAAUAAAAAAAUGAUGACUUCAUCUCAUUGCGUGGUUUUGCCAUGGAAACAAGGGUGACGUCAUCGCGUUAGAUUUGUCAACCCCACAUCCGGCUGAGAGCUGUCGCUGUGUCUCAAUUCAGGGGCUGCAGCCUUCGGAGGCUGCAUUUGUAGACCGAUUACGUCACAGCAGCCGCGACAGGGGUGUCCCAUUUCGGCGACUCCGUUGAAUUUAGGCGACAAAAGCGGCCUUCUUUUGCCGGAUUUGGAGGAUACAUCUGAUGUGUCCUUCACGGCCGCAGGUAUCCUAAAAUUCAUUGCGCGCCCAGAUACAUUUUGUUCUGACAAACAAUGGCGCCCCUCGACCCAGCACUAACGGUAAAUGGAUAUACUUUUAAAUUGCUGCUGGACUUGGAUGGGCUGGUGUUUCCUGAUGGGGGGGCAUCAUCUGGAGUUCUCUAACAUAAAUAUUAGGAACACACUUUUAACCACACUGAGUCAAUAUGCUUUCUUUCUAAACUGUACAUUUAAAAUUCAUAAGCAAACCCAUAUACUUAACUAGAAAUGUGCAUACAGGUGUACAAAGCAAAAGUCACCUUUCAGUUGUUCGAGUUUCUUAGGGUGUUUCAGGUGGCUGACAAAGCAUUGUUAGGUGGGUGCUACAAGAGAAAUAUGAAAGAUAUUACCUCAUAAAAAGAGGCCAUUUAUUUGAUAAACAUUUCAUAACCUUAUCAAACUAAAUUAGGCAGUAACUGUGAACCCACUCGGCAUGAAAACACAUGUUCUAGCCAAAAGAAGUGGCCUGCUGCACCUUCGUGUCCUCCAAUUCCAUGAGUGUACAACAAGAUAUGUCUCAACUGCAUUAAAAACCUGACUCACUGCUCUCUCCCUCCUAUAAGUACACCAAAGCCUCCCACGUUAGAUGAUAAGAUUCUCUGAAUCGGAUCACACUGUAUGUCUGUCCUGCCCAGUGCACCCCGAAUCCAGAGAAUAGCAUAUUUCUCCUCAAUCUAUUCCCCUGUUAUCAAAUCAUUAAAAUGUCAUCUCCCACAUAGAAAUAAUACUCAUCAAACAGAACAAUCUAAACUGUGCACUGUUUCUCCAAUGCAACUGAAGAUCUAAUUGUCCUAAAACUGGAAAGGGCUGACAAAACUGAACUUGGAUCUUACCUAAUUGUGAAAUCAUGGUUAUCUAUUCCUCCAUUCCUCCCUCCUGUCGGUACAUUGUAGCCUCCUCUGAUAAAUGUUAGGAUUAUGCACUGACUACCUUACUGACCACUGAAAAAGCCAAACAGUCGGGAUUCUUACCACUGGUUUCCACUCCUUACAAAUCCGAACAUAAUAUACUAAAGAAUCCACAGCAAACCUGCAGAGUUCCUAGGAAAUGCUUGAGCCUGGGGGAAGAGCGAAGUGGCUGGAGACAGGGGCUGAGGUUGCCUGGGAAUCUCCAAGCUCAUGUUUUAUUUGCUCUGGCAGAUAAUUCACGAUUUGAUCUGGCGAUGUCCGACUAGGGCCGAGGGGCAGACUGAGCAAAAAUAAGA
ensembl:lncRNA